rnacentral:rRNA from 1 species
GACGGGGCCGCACAAGCGGUGGAGCAUGUGGUUAAUUCGAAGCAACGCGAAGAACCUUACCAGGUCUUGACAUCCCCUGACAACCCAAGAGAUUGGGCGUUCCCCUUCGGGGGACAGGGUGACAGGUGGUGCAUGGUUGUCGUCAGCUCGUGUCGUGAGAUGUUGGGUUAAGUCCCGCAACGAGCGCAACCCUCGCCUCUAGUUGCCAGCAUUCGGUUGGGCACUCUAGAGGGGACUGCCGGCGACAAGUCGGAGGAAGGUGGGGAUGACGUCAAAUCAUCAUGCCCCUUAUGACCUGGGCUACACACGUGCUACAAUGGGCGGUACAAAGGGCUGCGAACCCGCGAGGGGGAGCGAAUCCCAAAAAGCCGCUCUCAGUUCGGAUUGCAGGCUGCAACUCGCCUGCAUGAAGCCGGAAUCGCUAGUAAUCGCGGAUCAGCAUGCCGCGGUGAAUGCGUUCCCGGGCCUU